GAUGAACGCUGGCGGCGUGCCUAAUACAUGCAAGUCGAGCGAACAGAUAAGGAGCUUGCUCCUUUGACGUUAGCGGCGGACGGGUGAGUAACACGUGGGUAACCUACCUAUAAGACUGGAAUAUCUCCGGGAAACCGGGGCUAAUGCCGGAUAACAUGUUGAACCGCAUGGUUCUACAGUGAAAGGCGGCUUUGCUGUCACUUAUAGAUGGACCCGCGCCGUAUUAGCUAGUUGGUGAGGUAACGGCUCACCAAGGCAACGAUACGUAGCCGACCUGAGAGGGUGAUCGGCCACACUGGAACUGAGACACGGUCCAGACUCCUACGGGAGGCAGCAGUAGGGAAUCUUCCGCAAAGGGCGAAAGCCUGACGGAGCAACGCCGCGUGAGUGAUGAAGGUCUUCGGAUCGUAAAACUCUGUUAUUAGGGAAGAACAAAUGCGUAAGUAACUGUGCGCGUCUUGACGGUACCUAAUCAGAAAGCCACGGCUAACUACGUG
rnacentral:rRNA from 1 species